UACGUAGGGGGCUAGCGUUGUCCGGAAUCAUUGGGCGUAAAGAGCGCGCAGGCGGUCGUUCAAGUCGCGUGUGAAAGCCCCCGGCUCAACUGGGGAGGGUCACGCGAUACUGAUCGACUCGAAGGCAGGAGAGGGUAGUGGAAUUCCCGGUGUAGUGGUGAAAUGCGUAGAUAUCGGGAGGAACACCAGUGGCGAAGGCGACUACCUGCCUGUUCUUGACACUGAGGCGCGAAAGCUAGGGAGCAAACGGG
rnacentral:rRNA from 1 species